GGCCCCUCGGUAACGAGGAGCAGCCCGCCGGCGGCCAAGUUAACUCUUGUUUUUACACUGAAACUCUGAGAAAUAAACAUAAAUAAAUCAAAACUUUCAACAACGGAUCUCUUGGUUCUGGCAUCGAUGAAGAACGCAGCGAAAUGCGAUAAGUAAUGUGAAUUGCAGAAUUCAGUGAAUCAUCGAAUCUUUGAACGCACAUUGCGCCCUCUGGUAUUCCGGAGGGCAUGCCUGUUCGAGCGUCAUUUCAACCCUCAAGCCUGGCUUGGUGAUGGGGCACUGCUUCCGCNAGGGAGCAGGCCCUGAAAUCUAGUGGCGAGCUCGCCAGGACCCCGAGCGCAGUAGUUAAACCCUCGCUCUGGAAGGCCCUGGCGGUGCCCUGCCGUUAAACCCCCAACUNUUGAAAAUUUGACCUCGGAUCAGGUAGGAAUACCCGCUGAACUUAAGCAUAUCAAUAGGCGGAGGAA
rnacentral:rRNA from 1 species